UGGUGUAAUGGAUAUCACGCCCGACUGCGGAUCGGGAGGUUCUAGGUUCGAAUCCUAGCG
rnacentral:tRNA from 1 species